rnacentral:rRNA from 1 species
AUUGAACGCUGGCGGCAUGCCUUACACAUGCAAGUCGAACGGUAACAGGUCUUCGGAUGCUGACGAGUGGCGAACGGGUGAGUAAUACAUCGGAACGUGCCUAGUAGUGGGGGAUAACUACUCGAAAGAGUGGCUAAUACCGGACGAGAUCUACGGAUGAAAGCAGGGGAUCGCAAGACCUUGUGCUACUAGAGCGGCGGAUGGCAGAUUAGGUAGUUGGUGGGAUAAAAGCUUACCAAGCCGACGAUCUGUAGCUGGUCUGAGAGGACGAUCAGCCACACUGGGACUGAGACACGGCCCAGACUCCUACGGGAGGCAGCAGUGGGGAAUUUUGGACAAUGGGCGAAAGCCUGAUCCAGCAAUGCCGCGUGCAGGAUGAAGGCCUUCGGGUUGUAAACUGCUUUUGUACGGAACGAAAAGCCCCGGGUUAAUACCCUGGGGUCAUGACGGUACCGUAAGAAUAAGCACCGGCUAACUACGUGCCAGCCGCCGCCGUAA